rnacentral:lncRNA from 1 species
GGCAAAUUCACCCUUAAUCUGGUGGGCACAAUAUAAUCAGCUUCCAGCAAAUAUAAAGCAGGCACAAAAACCUGAAAAAAGAAAGAUGGGCCCAGCCUCUCAGCCUACAUCUUUCUCCUAUGCUGAAUGCUUCCUUCCCUCGAACAUCAGACUCUGGGUUCUUCAGUUUUGGGACUCAGACUGGCUUUCAGCUUGCAGACAGCCUACUGUGGAACCUUGUGAUCGUGAAAGUGUGGUUAGAAAACUCAGAAAGAUGACAGAAAAAUCAAGAAGCAGACUGAGAAGACUUGGGGUCUUAGAGGCUGAAGAAACUCAGAAGGCCCAAAAUGAAGUUGAACUUAGUUGUUAUGGCCCAAGAACUGACUCUGGGUGGACAGAGGGGUCUCUACAGCCUUGAAAUGUCAUAGUCAUUUACUCCUCCCCAGUUCCCACCCUCCAAAGAGUUCAGAGCUCUGUAAAGAGGGUAGAGGUUCAUCUUGAUUAGUCUCUGAUUUUUAGAGAAAAUAAUCAUUAUCAUGCCAUGUUCUCUGUGAUGGCCACCUCAGAUGGGAUGCAGGUGGUGGAGUAGAGACAGGCUGGUGUACAGGAGAAGUGGAAGAUGGAGUGAUGGAUAAUAGGUGGUUCUAAAGGAUGGAUCCAAGACUAGCUUAGGAUGCAACCACCAUACAAUACUGUUCUCCAUCCAGAAACCUACCAGGGCCAUCAAGCAAAACCUUUGGAAAAGAGAAGGCACAGACAGAACAGUAAAUUAUAAAGAAGCUUGUUUUCUUGCAGUCAGGCUGGGACAAACUUCAGCAAGAAGAAUAGUGAAAUUCAACAAAGACAGAUUUUCCCCACCCACUUCAUGCCAAAGAAGGACAAUCACAUGCCUACCUCUCAGAAACUUUCUCUAGAAGGGGAGAAAAGAAGGGGAAAAGAGAUCCCAAAAUGGAAAACCAUUUCAGCCUGUUCUUUUUUAAAAGCUUUAUUGAAGUAUAAUACGGUGUACCUUUUUUUAAUUUCUUUUUUUUUUUCCGUUGAGACAGAGUCUGACUCUGAUGCUCAGGCUGGAGCAUAGUGGCACGAUCUCAGCUCACUGCAAUCUCCGCCUCCCGGGUUCAAGUGAUCCUCUCACCUCAGCCCCCCAAGUAGCUAGGACUACAAGCGCAUGCCACCACGCCAAGCUAAUUUUUGUAGUAUUAGUAAAGUCGGGGUUUCACCAUGUUGGCCAGGCUGGCCUCGAACUCCUGACCUCAAGUGAUCCACCCACCUCAGCCUCUCAAAGUGUUGGGAUUACAGGUGUGAGCCACCACACCCAGCCUCAGUGUAGCUAAAGUGUAAAAUGUGAUGAGUUUCAACAUAUGUGUGUACCAGUAAAGCCAUCACCACAAUCAAGAUAACAAACAUCCUCAUCAUACGUAAAAUAUCCUGUGCCCCUUUGUAAUCCAUCCCUGCCUCCACUCCCAUCCUCAAAACACCACUGAUGUGCUUUCUGUCACUAUAGAUUAAUUUGUAUUUUGUACAAUUCUUUAUGAAUGGAAUUAUACAGCACCUACUCUGCAUCAAUAAUUUGUUCCUUGUUAUUACUGAGCAUCAUUCCAUUACAUGGAUAUGUCACAAUUUGCUUAUCCAUUCACCUGGCAAUGGCCAUUUGGGUUGUUUGCAAUAUUUGGCAGCCUCAAAUAAAGCUGCCAUCAACCUGUAUAAGAAGGUAAAAAGCAGGCCAAUAUUUGACUAUGGUUUGCCCAGGGCAGGGAUCAUCUCUCCUUGACAACUCUAUUCAUGACAACUGUAAAGCUUCCUGUUUUAUAAGACUUUAGGGUUUAAGAUCUUUAACCUUCAUGGCCUCGUUAGGUAUUCAGGUAGGUGAUGUAGGUUUUAGGCAUGAUGGCAG